rnacentral:lncRNA from 1 species
CGGCGGGACGCCAGCGGCGCGCGUGACGUCAGCGCGUUGACGUGGCUUCCUAGGCGGGAGGGAGUGCCGCUUGGGAGAGCUGCCGGGCUCCUGAAGGAGGCGUCAGCCAACAUCUAGUGAUCCGUUCCCCUUACCGAUCGCCUUGCCAGGAGCUGUGGAGAAGACGCGCUCGUAGUCAGGCACAAAAAGAUGUCCGCGUUUUCACCACAGCGCAGUUCAGUGUGGUGUUAGAGAAAGAAAUGCGCCAGGUGUUUUCCUGUUGAUGCUAAAUAUAGGCAUUAGGAUAAUGUGUUUAAAGAUAUCAAGGCCCUAAAAUAACAUUUGAAUUAGAAGUUGUAAACUUUUUUUUUUAAGAUUUUAUUUAUUUUUUUUGAGAGAGAGAGACAAGAGAGCACAAGCAAGGGGGAGGGAAAGAGGGAGAGAGAGCAGCAGACUCCCCACUGAGCAGGGAGCCUGAUAUGGACCUCAAUCCCAGGACCCAGAGACC